rnacentral:rRNA from 1 species
GAAUGCGUCUCGGUCAAAGCUCAUCCUUGUGGUGGUGCUGGACUGGCGUUUCCUAUCUUCCGAUAGUGGGGUCAAACUCGCUUCGGAUCGUUUACUUUGAAAAAAUUAGAGUGUUCAAAGCAGGCGUAACCUUGCCAUUGAAUAUUACAGCAUGGAAUAAUAGAAUAGGACUUUGGUCUCCUUUGUUGGUUUGAGGGGCUAAAGUA